rnacentral:rRNA from 1 species
AGAAUCUUCCGCAAUGGGCGCAAGCCUGACGGAGCGACACCGCGUGCAGGACGAAGGCCUUCGGGUUGUAAACUGCUGUCACGCUCUAGGAAUCCCAUGUCGUUAACAGCGACAUGGUUGACUAAAGCGAGAGGAAGCACCGGCUAACUCUGUGCCAGCAGCCGCGGGAAGACCGAGGGUGCAAACGUUGUUCGGAAUCACUGGGCAUAAAGCGCACGUAGGCGGCUGGGUCCGUCCGAUGUGAAAGCCCCCGGCUCAACCGGGGAAUUGCAUCGGAUACCGCCCGGCUCGAGGAUGGUUGGGGUGAGUGGAACUCCUGGUGGAGCGGUGAAAUGCGUAGAUAUCAGGAGGAACACCGGUGGCGAAAGCGGCUCACUGGACCAUCUCUGACGCUGAGGUGCGAAAGCUAGGGGAGCAAACGGG